AGAGUUUGAUCCUGGCUCAGAACGAACGCUGGCGGCGUGGCUAAGACAUGCAAGUCGAACGGACCAGUAAUUUAUUAUUGGUUAGUGGCGUAAGGGUUAGUAAUGGAUAGGUGAACGUACCCUUUGCUUCGGAAUAGCGUCGUUAGCAGCAAUGCUAACUACCGAAAGGGGCGGUAAUACCGAAUAAUAUCAUCCCUCGACGGAGGGAUGUUCAAAGAUUUAUCGGCGAAGGAGCGGCCUAUCUCCUAUCAGCUUGUUGGUGAGGUAAUGGCCCACCAAGGCUAAGACGGGUAACGGGACUGAGAGGUUGUUCCGUAACAUCGGGACUGAGACACUGCCCGGACCUCCACGGAGGGCUGCAGUAACGAAUCUUGCGCAAUGGGCGAAAGCCUGACGCAGCGACGCCGCGUGUGGGAGGAAGUCCCUCGGGAUGUAAACCACUGUCAGGGGUAAGAAAGUCCGCUUCGGCGGAUUGAUCUAACCCAAAGGAAGUCACGGCUAACUUCGUGCCAGCAGCCGCGGUAAGACGAAGGUGGCUAGCGUUGUUCGGUAUCACUGGGCUUAAAGGGUGUGUAGGCGGGAGCGUAAGCGCUUUGUGAAAUCCCUCGGCUUAACCGAGGAAUUGCUGGGCGUACUGCGCUUCUUGAGGCAAGUAGGGGUGCACGGAACUCUUGGUGGAGCGGUGGAAUGCGUAGAUAUCAAGAGGAACGCCGGUGGAGAAAUCGGUGCACUGGGCUUGUUCUGACGCUGAGACACGAAAGCGUGGGGAGCAAACGGGAUUAGAUACCCUGGUAGUC
rnacentral:rRNA from 1 species